AAGUUACUACCAUUUACACACACCAGAAGUUACUACCAUUUACACACACACACACACACACACACCAGAAGUUACUACCAUUUACACACACACACACACACACCAGAAGUUACUACCAUUUACACACACACACACACACACCAGAAGUUACUACCAUUUACACACACACACACACACACACACACACACACACACACACACACACACACACACACACACACACACACACACACACACACACACACACACACACCAGAAGUUACUACCAUUUAUACACACACACACACACACACACACACACACACACACACACACACACACCAGAAGUUACUACCAUUUAUACACACACACACACACACACACACACACACACACACACACACACACACACACACACACACACACACACACACACACACACACACACACACACCAGAAGUUACUACCAUUUACACACACACACACACACACACACACACACACACACACACACACCAGAAGUUACUACCAUUUACACACACACACACACACACACACACACACACACACACACACACCAGAAGUUACUACCAUUUACACACACACACACACACACACACACACACACACACACACACACACACACACACACACACACACACACACACACACACACACACACACACACACACACACACACACACACACACACCAGAAGUUACUACCAUUUACACACACACACACACACACACACACACACACACACACACACACACACACACACACACACACACACACACACACACACACACACCAGAAGUUACUACCAUUUACACACACACACACACACACACACACACACACACACACACCAGAAGUUACUACCAUUUACACACACACACACACACACACACACACACACACACACACCAGAAGUUACUACCAUUUACACACACACACACACACACACACACCAGAAGUUACUACCAUUUACACACACACACACACACACACACACACACACACACACACACACACACACACCAGAAGUUACUACCAUUUACACACACACACACACACACACACACACACACACACACACACACACACACACACACACACACACACACACACACACACACACCAGAAGUUACUACCAUUUACACACACACACACACACACACACACACACACACACACACACACACACACACACCAGAAGUUACUACCAUUUACACACACACACACACACACACACACACACACACACACACACACACACACACACACACACACACACACACACACACACACACACACACACACACACACACCAGAAGUUACUACCAUUUACACACACACACACACACACACACACACACACACACACCAGAAGUUACUACCAUUUACACACACACACACACACACACACACACACACACCAGAAGUUACUACCAUUUACACACACACACACACACACACACACACACACACACACACACACACACACACACACACACACACACCAGAAGUUACUACCAUUUACACACACACACACACACACACACACACACACACACACACACACACACACACCAGAAGUUACUACCAUUUACACACACACACACACACACACACACACACACACACACACACACACACACACACACACACACACACACACACACACCAGAAGUUACUACCAUUUACACACACACACACACACACACACACACACACACACACACACAGACACACACACACCAGAAGUUACUACCAUUUACACACACACACACACACACACACACACACACACACACACACACACACACACACACACACACACACACACACCAGAAGUUACUACCAUUUACACACACACACACACACACACACACACACACACACACACACCAGAAGUUACUACCAUUUACACACACACACACACACACACACACACACACACACACACACACACACACACACACACACACACACACACACACCAGAAGUUACUACCAUUUACACACACAAUCACAAAACAUUUACUUGUUACUACUAGUAAACAUGAACCAAUACUUGUUGAUGUACUUGUAUGUUGUUGUUCCCAUUGCCAGCAGGCUGGAAAUUCGGGUCAAGGGGAUGAUGGAGGGCCUCAUUGAAAAUGUACAGUCUGGGUUUGACUUGUACAAGGCUCCCAUGGAGAAGAUGCUGGCCUCCUAUGACAGAAUGACAACAGACAGCCAGCUAAUCUCUGCACUGGCCACAUUUGGCCGGCAAAGUGCCCCUGCCGGAUCAGUUGCUUGGAGGAUGGCGAGAAGGGGCAUGCAAGCAAGCAUGAAGAUUGGAGUGCAGCCGACAGCUGUGGCUCGUCGGAAGACGCCACUUGGAGGCAGGCCUGCCCUCAUUACUGGGCGGCCAACAAAAAGCUCAAGAAGAGAGCACAACCAUGGAAGGGCAAAGGGCAAUUCACUGCCCAAAAGGCCGGCACCACAUAUUAUAUCCCAGUGUGUCACUGAUUGUGUUGCACUUGGCAAAAAUCCCAGUAAAAUAUAG
ensembl:lncRNA